rnacentral:rRNA from 1 species
AUUGAACGCUGGCGGCAUGCUUUACACAUGCAAGUCGAACGGUAACAGGUUAAGCUGACGAGUGGCGAACGGGUGAGUAAUGCAUCGGAACGUGCCCGAUCGUGGGGGAUAACGCAGCGAAAGCUGCGCUAAUACCGCAUACGAUCUGAGGAUGAAAGCGGGGGACCGUAAGGCCUCGCGCGAUCGAAGCGGCCGAUGUCAGAUUAGGUAGUUGGUGGGGUAAAGGCUCACCAAGCCAACGAUCUGUAGCUGGUCUGAGAGGACGACCAGCCACACUGGGACUGAGACACGGCCCAGACUCCUACGGGAGGCAGCAGUGGGGAAUUUUGGACAAUGGGCGAAAGCCUGAUCCAGCAAUGCCGCGUGCAGGAAGAAGGCCCUCGGGUUGUAAACUGCUUUUGUACGGAGCGAAAAGGUCCUUACUAAUACAAGGGGCUCAUGACGGUACCGUAAGAAUAAGCACCGGCUAACUACGUGCCAGCCGCCGCAGUAA